CUGCAGAGGAGAAAUGACGACCGGAGCCACUCAAGCUUAAAGGAAUGCACUCAGUGUCUCCAAUAGCACGCGUGUUCGUG
rnacentral:lncRNA from 1 species